AUGAGAUGUUGGAGACCAUGGAAUCUGGCACACAAAGAAAGGAGAUGGUCCUGGUUUCUUGGGAUAAAGCUUUCAUAUGAAGCUGACUCUUCAGGCUUUCUCUGUAAGAUACCUAAUACAAAACAAAACCAAAAUCAAAUCUCCUACAAUCUUUCUGUGUGUGUGUGUAGCUCUGCAUUAAUUAAUAUUUUCAUUUCUGUUUAUCAGAAAUCCACAUGCAGUGAUUUUAAUGAUAAUUUUCUUUUGAGAAUACUUAGUGUGAGUUGCAUGGUCAGAAAAGUAGAUAAAGUUGCCUUUUAAAACAGAUAUUAAGAUAUCUGAUGAAAUUGCACAUUUGUGCAUUAUAACAAACCAGUGGGCAAGUGAAGACAUAAGAUAACCCAGAUGUUUUGAGGUUGUUUAAAUCUGUCCUUACCUUUACUCAGUGCUGUAGAAAUGUCAGAUAACAGUUUCUCCCAUUACAAGAAGGAAAGAAGUUCAGAGGAGCCAGAGUACUUGUAUUGUUUCUGUCUGGGUAAAAUUCACGUCUGUGGAGUUGAUCGACACAAAAAGACAUUGAGACAUCUGAAGAUGAUCACUGAGGACCUGCUUAAAUCUUUGAGCUUGAUCUCUGAACCCCCAAAUCCCUCAGAUUUAUACAGGCACUGGGGAAGUUCUGUGGUCAGUGCAAUCCUGGGGGCAAAGGAAAACAAUUUCUCCAAGUCCUUGUAAUGUGUUAACCUACUACACUGACUCUCUGGAUUUUAAUGCUGGAUUUCUCAUCUGAAAGAGAGAAUUUGAUCAAUUGAUCUUUACUCUGUCCAACUCUCUCAGACCAUUUCGGUACUGUAUUUCUGCUGUACAGUCCCCGUUCACUUUCUAUAGUCCAUCAGAUCCUACCACUUGGGCUUUUAUUUAUUUGUGGUCUAUCAACAUCAAUGAAGCCUUGACUGCUCCCAUCUCUCUCCCAGCUGAUUUUUAGCACAUUUUCCUCACAAAAUUCAUUUAAAUCUCAGAAAUUCUUCUGCAUCCUGCCUCCUCUGACCCCAGAGGUUCUUAAUAGUUUCUUUAGAGAUAAAAUUAUCAAGCCUGUAAUAUGAUCUUAUUCCUCUCUUGCUUAUUUCAUUCAUUGCUUAUCCUUCAUUUCUCCUUUCU
rnacentral:lncRNA from 1 species